GACGAACCGUGCGAACGUUGUUCGGAAUCACUGGGCUUAAAGGGUGCGUAGGCGGGUCUUUAAGUCAGGGGUGAAAUCCUGGAGCUCAACUCCAGAACUGCCUUUGAUACUGAGGAUCUUGAGUUCGGGAGAGGUGAGUGGAACUGCGAGUGUAGAGGUGAAAUUCGUAGAUAUUCGCAAGAACACCAGUGGCGAAGGCGGCUCACUGGCCCGAUACUGACGCUGAGGCACGAAAGCGUGGGGAGCAAACAGG
rnacentral:rRNA from 1 species